GUGAGGGUGAGGAUAUGGAAUGUAUGGAGAAUACACGACCGGUGGAGGAGGAGAGUUGUAGUAAUAAGGUGAACGAGGCUUUGGAGAUGGUGGAGGUGGAGAUUGGAGGAAGAGAGUUGUAGUAGUAGUAGGGUGAAUGAGGCUUAGGAGAUGGUGGAGGUAGAGAUUUAUAGUAUUAAGAUGUUUGAGAAUAAAUACGUAUGUUGAAGAUCUAAUUUAUUAUGUUAUUAAUUUGUAAAAAAUUAUUCUUUAUUUUAUUAUCAUAUUCAUUAUUAAAUUGUUAAUUUGAUAAGUCAUUGAUUAAAAUUAGAUGUUUGUUAUCAUGAUAGAGAUUAUGAUAAUGAGAAACAAAUUUUUUAUAAUUUUAAUUCAAAUUAUUCUUGAUAGUAUGAUUAUCGUGAAUAGGACAUCAAUAAUCAUGAUAGAUUAAUAUAUAUGUAAUGAUCUUUAUUGAAUAAAGAUUAAUAAAUUUUUAUUGAAUAAUGAUCUUUAACACGAGAUUAUCAUAGUAAUUAAUAAGUUAUUGGUAUAUUUUAAUUUCGGAUGCCUAAUGUCUUAGAACACUAGUUGAAUGAAUAUUAGAUAUGAUUAAAUACUUGUAAAAUUAAUGAUUAAUCAAGAAGGAAUCCAUCAAUUCUAGGUAAUGAGUUUGAGUUCUAUUUUAGAAUUAAGACAUUGACUAAGGCAAUUGAAUGAAAGAAGAAAAUAGUUUCUUAAGUCAUUCAUGUGUUAGCUUAUUAGAGUUUGACAAUAAUACUAUACUCUAGAGUUAACCUAUGAUGGAAGCAAAUAUUAUAUUCUUCUUCUAUUGGUUCUCGAAGGGAAAAAGAUUUUGUUUCAGGUUAUCCGGACUUUAAGGAGUGUUGUUAAACGCCUAACUUGAUUAAUAAAUUAAUUAUGAUUAAUUUAUUAUCAAUUUAGUAUUGAACCUACAAGGUCACACACAAACGAGUAUUUCAAUAUUUACAAAAGAAAAUAAUUUAUUUUGAUAAUUAAAUUAGAGAAUUUAAUUUAAUCAAAUAAAUAUUUUAGUGAAAUAUUAUUAUAUUUUUUGCUAGGACCAAUAAUAUAAUUAAUAUAUAAAAAGGGAAUAUUAUUUUAUAAUUGUGAAGAUGUCCAUAAAAUAAGAAUAAUAUUCAAUUGCUAUGUAUCAAGGAUGUGAUUAAUUAUUGUAAUUAGUUAUGUGAUUAAUUAUGAAUUAUCUUUAUCUUAAAUCAGUAAGCUUCUUAAAAUAAAAUAUAUGAGAUAAUAUUUUUUUUAUAAAGACAAAUAUAAAUGAAAUUAUUUUAUAUAUUUUCUUUUUUUUCUCACCCAAAUCCAUAUCUCUUUAAUAUUAUGAAUAAAAGUAUCUAUAUGAGGCAAAGCGUACUAAAUAAAGACUGAAAAAGGUUCAAGUCUAGUUUUAGACGUGAAAAGUAGAAAAAAAAUUAUUCUUUAGAGUUUCAUCCAUCAAAGAAUUUGAUAAUAAAGAUUGACCUGAGUAUAGAUACAAGUAGAGUUUUUAGACUAUUAAAAAAAAUGUGUUGCUUCAAAACCUACAUUUUGAUGCAUUAAUUUAUUAUUUAUUUAUUUAUUAUUAUUGUAUAUUUUGAAUAUAAAAUAAAUCCUAAUUUUUUUCCUACAAUUAUUAGAAACAUUUUUAUGUAACUAUCAUACUACACACACGAGGAUAUGAGGAUAUGGUGAAUGAGGUGGUGGAAACUUAUAAUAGUAAGUUGGAAGAGAUGGUGGAGGAGAAGAUUUGUAGGAAUAAGGUAUUGGACGACUUCAUUUUGUGGAAAGAGUCAUGAUUUAAUUUGUUUUUCCUCUCCUUCUCUUAAAAUUUAGUUAUGCCCGUAUAUCUUAUUGAAAACCACAUUUUUUUAGUCUUUCUGGACUGGAUACCCCUACCCCUGGCCAUGAUCAUAAUUCAUAACUAUUAUAUAUAUAUUACACGUAUUUUAUUUGUAACAAAUGGUAUAUCGAUGAGUUUUCUGAAUGUUUGAUCACAUGGAAAAUUUCUGAACGCGUCCUAGAGACUGAAACAGUUUUAUUUGCGCAAUAUAGAGUGUCGGUUUACUAAAAGAACGCACAGAUAGAUAUAUAUCUAUUCCAAAAUGAAGCGUAUGUAUACACGGAAUGAAAAAUGAUUAGUAAUAAUAAAUUAAUUUUACGAAAAUUUAUAAUUCUUUUAUUUUUUAUCUCUCUUAGUCGUUAAAAAGAUUAUGUAAAAUAUUGUAUGAGGACAGUUUCUUAAUAGAAACAUUCUAAUGCAUGUGAUACGUACGGAAUUAUUAUAAUUACAGUUGCACGAAGUAUAUUAUUAAUUAAUAUUCUCCUGUUAACAACCUUUUUUAUUGAGUAGUGUUUUUUCAUUGGAGGAAAUCCUUAAAUAUAUUUUUGGUGAAUCUAAGUUUACUUAAGCGGUACAUUAAUUAGAAAAAAAUAUUUUUUCCCCUAUUUUGUUUAUAUAAGUAAAAAAGUGAGAAUUAUAUGAACGUGCGAAGUGUGUGUAUGAGAUAAUAUUUGUUUUACAUAAUAUACCCUAAAUCAUAAAAGAAGCUUCACUGUGUAACUUAAAUUAAAAUUUGUAUAUCUCCCCCAUGUGCGUCUGACUACUGUUACCAUGCAUAUUCUAAUUAAGAACCCUGUUAGUGCCUUUCUUCUUUUUAUCCUCUUUCCUUCAUGAUCACCAUUGUUAAAUGGCAGUCAAUUCCAUGUACGUAUUGCAUCUCUGAAUUCAAGUCUAGCUGUCUCAUCGAGUUUAAUUUGUGAUAAUUGGUCUCAAGUAAAAAAGACCACUAAUUUGAUCAUUAAAUAUAUAUAUAUAUAUAUAUAUAUAUAUAUAGACAUAUAUAUAUAUAUAUAUAUAUAUAUAUAUAUAUAUAUAUAUAUAUAUAUAUAUAUAUAUAUAUAUAUAUAUAUAUAUAUAUAUAUAUAUAUAUAUAUAUAUAUAUAUAUUGAACAAUGCUAAUUAAAUACCAUAUAUAGUCAGAAAUAGAUCAGUGGGGGGUGCAUGUAUGUUAAGUUAGAAAGAGAUAAGAUCGUGGUUGUGGCAUAUAGACGUGCAUGGGGUGGUGUGGCUUAUAUGAUAUGAGAAAAUCAAGUAAUUGCAGGCAUUUUUUUUAAAAAAUAAAAUGACUUCAUUAAUCGUCUCCAACAUCAGUUAUAUAUAUUGACAUGUUUUUUAAAAUAAUCAAAACUGUCUCGCUCCCAAAUCCCUCUCACUUCUUUUCUUCCCUCUCACUGGCUUAGGGAUUUUCACUUUCGAAAAACAUGACUUAGGCCAUAAUUGAAGCCAUUAGACAGUAAUAUAUCAUAUGAGCAGGGGCCAAUCCAAACUCAAAUGGCUGUGAGGACCGAUAAUAAAAAAUAAAAUUCAUCUAACACAUCAUAAAAAUAUAUAUUCAUAAAUUAAUGUUUUAAAAUGUUAAUUACAAUAAUAAUCUAUUAAAACACGGGACCUUAUUCUUAUAUGUACUAAAUUUUUUAUCAAUUCUUCAAUGUAUAUUAACAAAAUGUGAAUCAAGAAUCCAUCUUUCAUCUUCUUUAAUAAUUAUAGAUUAACAAAAUUUGAGAAAAAUAAAACCUACUAUAUAAUAAGUAGAAUUAGUCAAAUAUAAUAUUCGGAUAAGAUAUUUUACAAAAAAAGAAAUAAAAUUACUAUUGAUUUUAUAAUUUAAAAUUACAGAAAAUAAAAAUUGAUGGUAUAAUAACAAAAAUUGUUAAAAAAUAAUAUUUAAAUAUUUUUUUUAAAAAAAGACAAAAUUGCUAUUGAUUUUAUAGUUUGAAAAAAAAGAGAUAAAAACAAUUAUAUAAAUUGAUGGAUUUGAAUCCAUCCAUUUUUUUUUAUGGAUAAAUUAGAUGAAUUUAUUGUGGAUGAAUUAAUUGGAUAAUGGAUAAAUGAAUUCAUUUGUCACCACUAGCCUGGGACCUAGUCAUGUCCACCAUAGUGGAAAAGUUAUUUUGACCAUUGGAUUUAAAUUUUUCUUGAGAUAAGUGCAGGCUUAUCUUAAGACAAGUUACACUGGAUUAUUAUUAUUAUUAUUAUUAUUAUUAUUAUUAUUUUCCUUAAAAAGUGUUAUUCUUUCCUGUUCUAGUUUAUCGCCCCUUUCUUUCUCUCUCCGACUCUCCCUUCCAUCUACUUAUUCUCCUCCUCCCCUUUUUCAAAAUGUCAUGCUUCUUCGGUGACCUCAACAACUUCUUUGUCAUCAAGCUCCUCGUCGGACACGUAGUUAGCUAUGGUAGGAUUUGAAUACGAAAGAAUGGGCUUCAACGUCCACAAAAUGCUGAUUGGUGCGAUUGUUACUUUAAUGCAAGUGUAGGUAGGUUUGGAGCUUUGAUGUAGGUUUGGGAUAUGUGUGUGUGUGUGGAAAGAAACACGACCUAAAUUUAGGGGAUAUGUAGAUUAUUAUGCUUUUUUAUGCAAAUAUUGACAAAUUUAUUGCAAACAACACAAAAAGAUAUAUUAAAAGAAUUUCACAAUAAUUUGAAUGAAAUCAUACACAAUCAACCAUAUUAAUCUACAAAGAAACAAAUAAGAAAGCUCUAAAAGCAGCCUGAAUUGAUAUCAACAUUUCUAAUCUUGCUUCCUUGUCUUGAAUCUUUUUGAUUUGUCGCUUCCUUGAACUUAGUAAGAACAACACUUGAAAAAUGGCCACCAAAUAAAUAGAAGCAACCUCAUAUGAGUCAUGAAGAUCGUAGCUUAGAGGUGAUACACUCAGACUCUUAUUCAAAGAACUUGUAUAACAAAUUAUAUGCUUAACUCUGCUCCAAAUGGAACGGAAAUUUAUUCCACAAUGAAUACUAGAACCUGAAAUAAAAUAAAAGUUUUCAAUACUUCUCAGAGUUUAUAAAUGCAUAUAAAAUAGACAUUUAUCUANNNNNNNNNNNNNNNNNNNNNNNNNNNNNNNNNNNNNNNNNNNNNNNNNNNNNNNNNNNNNNNNNNNNNNNNNNNNNNNNNNNNNNNNNNNNNNNNNNNNNNNNNNNNNNNNNNNNNNNNNNNNNNNNNNNNNNNNNNNNNNNNNNNNNNNNNNNNNNNNNNNNNNNNNNNNNNNNNNNNNNNNNNNNNNNNNNNNNNNNNNNNNNNNNNNNNNNNNNNNNNNNNNNNNNNNNNNNNNNNNNNNNNNNNNNNNNNNNNNNNNNNNNNNNNNNNNNNNNNNNNNNNNNNNNNNNNNNNNNNNNNNNNNNNNNNNNNNNNNNNNNNNNNNNNNNUGGUGAUGGUGAUGGUGGCGGGGGAGAUUUAUAGUAAUAUGGAGGAGGUGAUGGUGAUGGUGGAGGAGGGCUCUUGUAGUAAUAAGAAGGUGGGGGAGGAGAUUUGUAAUAGUAUGUUGGUGGUGGUGGAGGUGGUGACUUAUAGUAGUAAGGAGGGUGUGGGUGCGGUGAGGGUGAAGGGGGUGGGGGAGAGUUGUAAUAAUAUGGUUUGUGAUAAGGAGUAGGGGAAGGCUUGGGCUUGGGCUUUUCGCAAUCAUAUGACUUUUCAGGAGCAUAAGCAAAUGGCUUAGCCUUGAGCACAACUUCAUACUUAUCCUUGGACUUCACCUUCAAUUUGGUUCCCUCAUUAAGCUUGGUGGGUAUGUUACAGCGUGAAUCCUUAGGAGGAGCAUGGAGUUUAGCCUUGCAGACUGUGGCUCCAUAUUUCACAUAGUCAAAGCCUUCAACAGUGAUGCUGUACUUUCCAUUGCUCUUAGUUUUACCAUAAGCUUUUAUGGUCUUGCUCCCAACUUCACAAGUCACUUCGACCGUGGCACCUAAUUAACGAUGCCAUUAAAUGUGUGGAUCGCACAUGUUAUUGACAAAUCAAUCUAACAUAUAAAACCAUGACAUUAUUGUUUUCUUUAAUUUUAACGGAAGGAAAUGUUUUGUGAACACAAAAUGGGAUAAUAAAGUUAUUUCUUAUAACAUUAUGAUGUGUUUUUAAAACACGUGUACGAAAAAAAAGAAGCAUGUGUUACAUUAAUAAAUCUUUAUUUUUAAAGGUUUAAAUAAUAUAAAUAAAAUUAAAAUAGUUAACCUAUCCUAGCUUUUUCAUAUUUUGAUUGUUGGCUUCAUUGAUUACAUAAGAAAUAGUCGAUUCUAAACAAUAUUUUCUAUUUUCCAACAAAAAUUGUAUUUUUUUUUAUUGAAAUUCCAACUAAAGUCCUCUUCAAAAAAAAAUUGACAACUUUCUGUUUGAAAAGGGUAAUAUAGGUACUUUAAAAAGUAGUAUAUGUUUAGGUUGGUCAUUUGUUUAAUUAGUUAGCAUAGAUCAAGAUUCUCAAAAAUAUUUUUUUGUUAAAAUAUUUUCUCAAAUUGAAACAUGUUUUAUUUCUUAAUUGAAAUGAUAAUUACAAAAAAAAACUAGUUGACUAAAUAAAAAAAGGAGAAAUUAUAACUGUAAAAUUAUUUUAUAUUAGUUUUUUUUACAAAUUUUAUAGAGAAAAGAAAAAAAUGAGAAAAUAUCAAAUAAUUAAAUGAUUUAAUAGAAAAAAUAAAAAAAUAUGACUAAAAUACUAUAAGAAUAUUAUAUUGUAUUAAAAACAACUGUUUAUGUAUAAAUGCAGUUGAACUUCUCUAGACACAACAACACACACAUAACAAUAUCGAUGUAAUUAUACAAAUAAAAAUAUGAGCUUGAAAAAGAAAAAUUAAUUAAAGAAACAUAUAUGGCAGCCAAUGUCCCAAAUUAAAAUUUUGAGAAAAACAAAAGUACAGAUUAAUAUUACCAAAAAGUAACAUUUUUGAAGUAUUCAUAAUAUUAUUAUUGUGAAUGUAUUAGAAUGAAAUAGUAAAAAAAUAAAAGUAAUGUAGGUACCUUUGAGGUGUUUCUUGUUGUGCGACUUUUGGGGGUAUUUCCAGUCAUAACAUCUAUAACAAUAGACUUUACCCACAAUCUUAACAAUCAAUGGGUGAUGAUAUGGGUGAGGGUGAGGAUAUGGAGUGUAUGGAGGAGGCUUAGGAGAUGGUGGAGGCAGAGAUUUAUAGUAGUAAGGCACAUGAGGAGGAUACGGUGAAGGAGGAGGUGGAGACUUAUAAUAGUAAGGUGGAGGAGGUGAAGGAGAUGGUGGAGGAGGAGAUUUGUAGUAGUAAGGUGGUGGAGGAGAUGGUGAAGGAGGAGGCGGAGACUUGUAGUAAUAUGGAGGAGGGGGUGAGGGAGAUGGAGGAGGAGGAGAUUUGUAGUAGUAUGGUGUUGGAGCUGGGUGACUUCUCAGGUGGGGGAGGAGACUUGUAGUAGUAUGGUGGUGGUGGUGAUGGUGAAGGUGGUGGUGGGGACUUGUAGUAGUAAGGAGGUGGAGGUGAUGGAGAGGUGGUGGCGGGAAUUUAUAGUAGUAAGGAGGG
rnacentral:lncRNA from 1 species